UACGUAGGGUGCGAGCGUUGUCCGGAAUUAUUGGGCGUAAAGAGCUUGUAGGCGGUUUGUCGCGUCUGCUGUGAAAUUCCAGGGCUUAACCCUGGGCUUGCAGUGGGUACGGGCAGACUAGAGUUCGGUAGGGGAGUCUGGAAUUCCUGGUGUAGCGGUGAAAUGCGCAGAUAUCAGGAGGAACACCGGUGGCGAAGGCGGGACUCUGGGCCGAUACUGACGCUGAGGAGCGAAAGCGUGGGGAGCAAACAGG
rnacentral:rRNA from 1 species